AGAAAGGUCCUAAUAAGGACCAACAAUAUAUUUAAAAUGAAAUUUU
rfam:Xenopus tropicalis strain Nigerian Chr01_contig_2712, whole genome shotgun sequence.